GAUGAAGAACGUAGCGAAAUGCGAUAAGUAAUGUGAAUUGCAGAAUUCAGUGAAUCAUCGAAUCUUUGAACGCACAUUGCGCCCGCUAGUAUUCUGGCGGGCAUGCCUGUCCGAGCGUCAUUUCAACCCUCAAGCCCCCGGGCUUGGUGUUGGGGAUCGGCGAGCCUCCGCGCCCGCCGUCCCCUAAAUCUAGUGGCGGUCUCGCUGUAGCUUCCUCUGCGUAGUAGCACACCUCGCACUGGGAAACAGCGCGGCCACGCCGUUAAACCCCCAACUUCUGAACGUUUGACCCCGGAUCAGGUAGGAAUACCCGCUGAACUUAAGCAUAUCAAUAAGCGGAGGA
rnacentral:misc_RNA from 1 species